rnacentral:rRNA from 1 species
UACGGAGGGGGCCAGCGUUGCUCGGAAUUACUGGGCGUAAAGGGCUCGUAGGCGGUUUGAUAAGUCCUGUGUGAAAUCCCUUGGCUUAACCAAGGAACUGCGCCGGAUACUGUCGAACUUGAGGCCGGGAGAGGGAAGCGGAAUUCCCAGUGUAGCGGUGAAAUGCGUAGAUAUUGGGAGGAACAUCGGUGGCGAAGGCGGCUUCCUGGACCGGUUCUGACGCUGAAGAGCGAAAGCUAGGGUAGCAAACAGG